rnacentral:tRNA from 1 species
GCUCAGUUGGUUAAGUGUCCAACUCUUGAUCUCAGCUCAGGUCAUGAUCUCACAGUUUGUGAGUUCGAGCCCCACAUUGAGCU